rnacentral:rRNA from 1 species
GACGAACGCUGGCGGCGUGCCUAAUACAUGCAAGUAGAACGCACAGUUUAUACCGUAGCUUGCUACACCAUAGACUGUGAGUUGCGAACGGGUGAGUAACGCGUAGGUAACCUGCCUGGUAGCGGGGGAUAACUAUUGGAUACGAUAGCUAAUACCGCAUAAUAUUAAUUAUUGCAUGAUAAUUAAUUGAAAGGUGCAAUUGCACCACUACCAGAUGGACCUGCGUUGUAUUAGCUAGUAGGUGAGGUAACGGCUCACCUAGGCGACGAUACAUAGCCGACCUGAGAGGGUGAUCGGCCACACUGGGACUGAGACACGGCACAGACUCCUACGGGAGGCAGCAGUAGGGAAUCUUCGGCAAUGGACGAAAGUCUGACCGAGCAACGCCGCGUGAGUGAAGAAGGUUUUCGGAUCGUAAAGCUCUGUUGUAAGAGAAGAACGGGUGUGAGAGUGGAAAGUUCACACUGUGACGGUAUCUUACCAGAAAGGGACGGCUAACUACGUG